AAGUGACCAGGGAAGAGGAAGGGGUGGACCUGGGCAGGAGGGAAAGGUUUAAGGAGCAGGGAGCCAGGUAGAUCUUCCCUGAGGCAUCUCUUACCCAAGAAGCCAGCCCCCACCCUCCACACCCUGCCUCUCUGGGGCUAAAGGCUGAGGCAAAGCGGAGCCUCUGGACAGCCCCUGGCGGGAGGGAAAGGGGAGUCAGAUUACUGGCUCUGCCAGGCUCCACGCUGGGCUCAGGGGCUCGGUUACCCUGGAAACCUAACCCCUUGAAUGCAGAGCUGGCUAUCCCCAGGGCUCACCCAUUGCUGGGUGACACCAGGUGUAGGCAGCACUCGCCCACAGGGAUGGGACUGGAGGUGCAGAGGCCUAGAGAGCCAUCAGGAAUGGGUUCAGAGCCACCUGCACCUGCAGGUGCGCCUCCCUCCUGCCUAGAUGCCAGUCCCCGCUUGCCUACUUACAGCCACUGCCCACCCCCACCCCCGAGCCCCACCCUGGCUUUCUCUGUCCCACACGACUGCCUCAGAUGGACAGGCUGGGUGGGCAGUGGUGGGUGAUGCUGCCUGAAUCACCCUGGCAACAGCCUGCGCCUUACCCUCGCUUCCUUCCUAGGGGCCUCCCCUCUCCCCCGGGUCCUGUUUACCAGGAGAUAAAGGGCCCCACGGGCUCCCGCCCACACCAACCCUUCUGUCAUUUCCCUACACACUGCAGGCCCUGGCCCUGGGCAGCCUCCCCCGCCUGCCAGCUCCUCCACCCGCCUUGCCCUCAGCUUCUCUGACUGUGGGUCCAACUCUGUGACUGCCUCCCCAUGGGCCAGGCCCUAUGCCAGGGCUCUGCCAAGCCAUGCUGGCACCCUAUAACCCUCGGGAGCUGGGGAGGCAGCUCAGGUGAGGAGAGGGACCAGCCUGGGAGCCCCUGCCACACUUUCUUGCCUCAGGACCACGUUGUUAAGAGCAGCAGCAAUGAGGCCUGGAGGCUGUGUCACCCUCCCCUGGAGGCGAGUCAUUAGGACAUCCUGGGGCCCACAAACCACAGUUCCCCCUGCUUCCCUCUUGGUUGGGGAAAGAUUAAAGAGCCAAGCUGGGGCACAACCUUUGUGCCUUGUACUCAGGGAAAAGGGACAGGCUCAGAGGGGCAGAGGCAGAUAUCAGGCCCGUUAACGGUCUGCUGUCACCAUGCAUGUGUGUGGCAGGUGUCUGCCUCCUCUCCAGACCCUGCAACCUCCUAGGAGUAAGGGUGUCCAUCAUUGCUGAAGUCCAGGCCUGGGGAGGCGGACAGCCUGAAGGCUGGGAGCGCUGCAUGGCUGAGACCCCGGGCUGCCCCCAAGGGUCUGCCUCCCUGGGCAGAUCCUCAGCAGGUGCUUGACCGAGGGCCACAGUUUGAGCGCUGGCAGAGCUGCUGCACGGGCUAGAUAGGAAAUUGGGCCCCAAACCCUUCUCCAGGGUCCAUUUUGCGUUGGUCUAAGAGGCCGUCCUGGGCUUGACCUUGCGUUUCCAGGAUGAUGCCCACACCUGCUGCCCUUCCUCUCUGGUUCCCUGCCCACCUCCUUCCUUCCCUGCAGAUUCCACUUCCUGGGUCCUUCCCUCAAGUUCCUGGACCCCCGCUGGCUGCAAAGUGGAGGCCAGGUUCCAAUCUGGCCUCCGACUGGCUACGUCUGGUUUCACCAGGGGUUUAAGACAGAUUUUCUACAUGUGACAACGAGAUGGGUUCACAUAAGAGCCCAGAUUCCCAGCUUCUCUUGAGGCCUCCAAAGACCUGGUACUACUGGGUCACCACAGAAACAGUGACAGCCCCUCGACAAGGGAGGCCUAUGUCACCCCAUACUCAUACCUCACAGGAUCCUUAGGCUUCUAUCCCCUAGGGGCUGGGCUCGUGAAUCUAAGUGCUCCCCUUCUUUGCUCUCCUGUUCCCCAGGCCCUCAGAGAGCCAGCCUCCUGGAUGCCCCCCAGACACAGUGGGUGCCAUGGAGCCAGUGCCUCUCCCUCACUCUGCUGUCCUGGAGCCUGGCUCCCUGUGGUAAGCCAGGCUUGCAGAGGUGGCUCCUGACAUCAAUCCGCGGGCAUGUGGCUGCUGCGGGAGGCACACACUGGCUCAGGACAAAGGGCAAGGGCUCACGGCUCUACCCACGACUCAAAGAGCAUGCCCCAGCCCUUCAGAUAUGGCCCCACCUAGGCCUUCAUGCCAGUGUGCUUUUAUAGUCACCCUGCCAAGGACCCAGAAUGUCCUUCCCCAGGUGACACACCCUACCUACAGAGAAUUCUGCCCCAGCCAUGCCUGCCCUUGAUAAUAUACCCCGCCAGCACGGCCUCUGCCCAGCCAUCCCUCCCGUGUCAGGCAGGCUCCCCGCAGAGUCCCUGGGUGAUGCCUCUCUGGCCCUGGAGCCCCAAGGCCAGCCCAGGCCUCUGCUCUGGCAGAACAAGUGCGGCAGGCGGGCGUGCUGGCAGAGCUCGGCGUGGGUAGAUGGAGCUCGGAGGGUCCGGAAGGGUCCAGGUUCCCUCGCCCUCCUCCGCAGCCUCUCUGGGAUGGCGCUCCGGGACAGGGAAACAGGGAAGCAGGUGGCGGGGAGGCCGAGGGGCAGCUGGACUCAGCCCGCUUAGGCCUCCAGCAGGCAGGCAGGCAGGAGGCCACUCUCCCGGAACCUCCAGGCCGGGGGAAGAGCGCCUCCGAGGGCUCAGGCCCUACUCGGCCCCACCAUCGCCAAGACCGGCCAGCGGGGCGGCGCGGGGGGAUCGGCCCGCACCCUCCGCCUGCAAGAGCGCUGGGCGCACGCGGAGGGCGGGGGCCAGCCCGGGAAGCUCGGGGUGCGGAGGACGGGCUGGGGCCGCACGGGAGCGCAGGGCAGCAGGGGCCGGGCUGCCUCAGGACGCCUCCCUCCCUCCCUCCCUCCCACAGGCCGGAUGCUGCCGACGCGUUCUGGGCGCCGAAGGGAGUCCCAGGACCGGGUGUCACGCCGGGGUCGCCCAGGCCGGCGCGGGGCAGCAGGCAGCAGGGUGGGGGGGUGCCCUCGCGCCUGUGUCCCUCACGCCGCCCCAGCUCCUGCCCAGGUGGCUGUGGCUGGCGUUCCGGGACCUCUGUGACCUUGGGUCUCUGCCCCUCUCCGAGAACCCCACGGGUCCCCAGCUCAGCGUCGGGACAGCUGCGCCCGCGGAGUCCGGUCCGGAGCACCCACGGGCGCGGCCCGGGCCCGAGGAGAACGCCGCGGCUCCAGCAGCAAACAAGUGGGGGAGGGUGGGAGGGGCGUCCUCGCGCCGCCCGGGCGGGGAAGGGGCGCCUGCGUCGGCUUCCGGCCGCCUUCCGCGGCCACCGCCGGGCCCGCUCCCGCCGCCGACGCCCAGGUGCGCCAGUGUCUGCGAGAUUAAUCUCUCAUGGCCGCUGCACAAGAACCUGGCUUUUAGCUGAACUAAGGAGAAAGUCCUACAACAGUUUGGCGUGCAACAUGGGGCUUGAGAAAGGGUUUUCAGCAGCUUCCGGAGGCCGCCUGGACUGCAGAAGGCGCCCUGGGCGUGUGUACUUCCACCUCCGCAGGCGCUGGCAUCUCCAGGCUGCUUCAGGCCGCUUUGGACCUCACCAUCGGUAGCAUCUGCGUCUUCUUGAGGUGACUGGAGCCCGUCUAUGGUUUCAGCCAUUGACUUCUGGACAUGGAAGUGUCGAGGCCAUUUUUGGCCCCUCUCAUAUCCGGGAAGGGCUCCGUGCCCAGUAGAGGUGCAGUGCAGCAGCCAGCUCGCAGCAGUGCUCCCGUAGAGCUGAUGGCAUUGGCAGGAGUGGCGGCUCAGCACAGGGAAGUUCUCCAGUGCCCAGGCCCAGGCUUGCUCUCGGUUUAGGUCCCAUGGCACGUGGGGCUCUGGACCUGCCUGCCUCCAAGACAGCUCUUCCAAGGUUGAGGGUUGGAACUCCACAGCCUCAGCCUCCCAAAGCUUGACCAGGCCCAGCCAUAGCUAGUCUAGGAAAAGAGCAAAUGGCCGUGUUUUUAUAUUUUGACUUUUGCAUUUCAAUAUUAAUUUUUUUGGUAAUGUAAUGCAUUCAAAACAUGGUCCCCCCCCCCAAAAAAAAAAGAAAAGAAAAAGAAAAAAGCAUGUUUCUAACCAGGGGUCCUUCAUCUUCUGCAGAUGCCAAGGGUGUCCCUGGCACAGUAAAAGUUUGGAAGCCCUGCCCUAAAGCCUCACCUCACCUGGCAGCUGGGUGUUUCAUUCAUAGCAAAUGUUCUGUAUAUUCACCAUGUACCAAACACACAUGUCACUAAUGAUACAAACACAUGUGCACUGACAUUGACCUCCUCACUGUCUUACUAUAGUCCCAUCCACAGCCACCUUAUCAGAGUCCAUGGGACUCUGACAACUUGUAAUGGGAAAAUUAACCGUGCCUGUAGGGGCCGCCUGGGUAGCGGGAGGUGGUUCAUGAGUACCAGGAAAGCUGGCCCUGGGGCAGACCUGGGCAGGGCAGAGCACAGCUUGCAGGACCUAGUACACAGUGUUGGGAAUUGAAUUUGGGUUUUGACCUUUGAAGCUGUGCAUAAAGUCUAAAACAAGAAGAGGAGUGGAGGCUGAGGUUGUAUUUGUAUUUUAAAAUGAGCAUUUGCCACACAAAGCCAGGAGCUUCAGACCAGCGUGGUUAACACAGCGAGACCCUCCUCUCUGUGAGAAAUUAAAAAAAAAACAAUAAUAAAAGCCAGGCAUGUUGGCAUGUACCUGUAGUCCUAGCUCCUCAGGGGGUGAGGCGGGAGGAUCACUUGACUCCUGGGUUACAGUGAGCUCUAAUUGCCACUGCACUUCAGCCUGGGCCACAGAGUGAGACCUUUUCUCAAAAUAAAAUAAAAUAAAAUAUAACCUUUUGGGCAGGCAUGGAAAGGGGCUGGAGAGAAUAAGAGGAAACAGAGAUAAGCCCCCUCCCUGGGAGCACAAGGGACUCAUCCCCAGACAUGGCACCACAGGCAAACAGACACUGUCACAAAACUAGCAUAUUCUCUUUCCUAGAAGUCCUUUGUUUUCCCCAAGUGCCCUUUCCCCCAACCUUUUGUUGGUUUACGAGCUCUCAAUUCUAACCUCCUAGUACACGAAUAAAAAUGUCUAUCGGGGUGGUGGCGUGAGCCUGUAGUCCCAGGUACUUGAGAGGCAGAGGUGGGAGGAUCCUCUGACCAUAAGAGUUCCUGACCAGCCUGUGCAAUACUGACUCCAUCUCAAACAAAAAACAGAAAGCUAUACAACUCCGUUUCUCUUGCUAAUUUGUCUUUUGUCAGUUUAAUUUGCAGGCCCCAGAUGCUGAAUCUAAGAGGGCAGAGGAAAAGCUUUUCCUCCCUGACAUAACCAUCCAGGAGAAAGUCUGGAAUGGAGGGUCAGAGGGGUAGGGAAUGGAGUUAGGAGAAGUAGAUAGAUUCAGGACAGUCUUUGGAGAAUGUACAUCACUGAGGUCAAGAUGUCCUAGGGAAUGGCCCUUCUGGGUUCACAAUUCUGCUUCCGUCGGUUAACAGCAACUUAGUCCCUUCUAUGCCUGUGGGGAUAAUCAGUCAGGAUAGGCUGGAUUAUGCUGCUCUAACAACCCCAAAUUUCUCUGAUCUAAUAAAAGUAUACUCAAAGCUGUA